CUAUCACAGGGCACAUGAUUCACCCCAGCCCGGUCUGACUUCAGUGGGGUUAUUUCACGCGGACAUCAGAGCUCAGAGAGAAGCAGGGGGGCUGCAAGGGCCCUCCAGAGGUCACCUGCUCCGACCCCGCUGAAGGCCGGUGUGGCCCAGAAAGGACGCGGCUGCCCCGGUCCUGUGCACAGGGGUCGGACUUGAUGACCUACUGAGGUCCCUUCUGACCCGAACAUCUGUGAAUCUAUGAAGCCCCGCCUCUCCCCACCUCCGGAGCUUGUACCAAGCUGAGCCAUGAGGCAUCUGAAAACUAUGUCUGCAUUUGCAGGCUUAGGAAAAGAAGAAAAAGAAAAAGUUGUUUUUAUAUCAUCAUGGUGGGAAAACUACAAGAAAACCCAUUUGGCAUAUUGCCAGCAAAAGUAAUCUUUGAAAAGUAAAUGGAGAGAAAGGGAAUUAUGUCAAUAUGUUUUGUAGUACUGUCCUAAUAUAGCAGAUCAUUCCAGUAUUUCAGAGGUGAAAACAGGGCUUCUUCAAAGUCAACUGUAAAAUGUUACUAACUCACAGUUUCAUAGUUGGCAGGGGCUGGAAGUGAACUUCAGAUCAACGGGUCCAGCCCUCCUGCACUUGGGCAGGAAAGACUGCCAGGAUUAGAUGACCCCAGCAAGAUGGGCAUCAAGACGCUUUUAGAAGAUCGCCAGGGUGGAUGUCUGUACCACCUCUGGGGGAAGUCUG